rnacentral:rRNA from 1 species
UUUGCCUACGGGGCGCAGCAGUGGGGAAUAUUGGACAAUGGGGGGAACCCUGAUCCAGCGACGCCGCGUGAGUGAAGAAGUAUUUCGGUAUGUAAAGCUCUAUCAGCAGGGAAGAAAAUGACGGUACCUGACUAAGAAGCCCCGGCUAACUACGUGCCAGCAGCCGCGGUAAUACGUAGGGGGCAAGCGUUAUCCGGAAUGAUUGGGCGUAAAGGGUGCGUAGGCGGCCUGCUAAGUCUGGAGUGAAAGGUACCGGCUCAACCGGUACAGGCUCUGGAAACUGGCGGGCUAGAGAGCAGG